rnacentral:rRNA from 1 species
AUUGAACGCUGGCGGCAUGCCUUACACAUGCAAGUCGAACGGUAACAGGUCUUCGGAUGCUGACGAGUGGCGAACGGGUGAGUAAUACAUCGGAACGUGCCUAGUAGUGGGGGAUAACUACUCGAAAGAGUGGCUAAUACCGCAUGAGAUCUACGGAUGAAAGCAGGGGAUCGCAAGACCUUGUGCUACUAGAGCGGCCGAUGGCAGAUUAGGGAGUUGGUGGGAUAAAAGCUUACCAAGCCGACGAUCUGUAGCUGGUCUGAGAGGACGAUCAGCCACACUGGGACUGAGACACGGCCCAGACUCCUACGGGAGGCAGCAGUGGGGAAUUUUGGACAAUGGGCGCAAGCCUGAUUCAGCAAUGCCGCGUGCAGAAUGAAGGCCUUCGGGUUGUAAACUGCUUUUGUACGGAACGAAAAGCCCUGGGUUAAUACCCUGGGGUCAUGACGGUACCGUAAGAAUAAGCACCGGCUAACUACGUGCCAGCAGCCGCAGUAAGAC